rfam:Tetrasphaera australiensis Ben110 genomic scaffold, 2552_scaffold1
UGCGUGUGGUGCCUACCCCCCGAGGGCAUCGCCCGCAGCGGCCCCGGCUGUUCCCCCCCAGCCGGGGCCGCACCGU